UUUUUAGGAUAAGUAUGUCCCAUGCAAUAUCUGGGUCAUACUUACAUUAAAA
rnacentral:pre_miRNA from 1 species